rnacentral:lncRNA from 1 species
UGUGACUGUACUAUUUAGUGUCAUUGUUUUAUAGAUACCAUAGUGAGAAAGGAUUCAUUUCGCAACACCUACGGCUUCCACUAGAUGUCAACGAUCUUUAUAAAGUUGUUUGAAGCGUCUAUGAUAAACAGAGAGCAAAUUAGAAUCCAAGGAAGUUGACAUGUCAUCACUUCAUUUUUUUGCGCCUGCGCAUAAAUCUGAGAAACGUGAGUUUUGUCUUCAUUGUUUAUCUCGACAUAGGAUAGGUUGUGUGAAAAUAUUACUGAUGUUUAACGUUAAAAAUGGACCAAAAGAUUAAUGCUAAACAACAUUUGACAUGUUUGAACGAACAUAAAUAGAUUAUUUACUAGGUUUUUUUAGCUUUUCGGCGUGAUUUUACAGUCCCCCACCACGUUUUGUGGGAGCAUAAUGAACGCUAAGUACUUGGUGUUAUUUGGACAUAAAUUAUGAACUUUGUCAAAAGAAACCACAUUUGUUCCGGACCUGGGAUGCCUUCCGGACCUGGGAUGCCUGUCUUCUGAUGGAGAUAAUCAAAGUAUAACUACCAGUUGAAUGAAAAUAUAUUAUUAUGAGCUGAAGAUCUUGUAUGUCCUUGGGAACCAUUUGAUGACUAUGUACUCUACAGGACCUGAGCCCUAGGACCAUGCCUCAGGACUACCUGGUAUGACUCCUCCUUGCUGUCCCCAGUCCACCUGGCCGUGCUGCUGCUCCAGUUUCAACUGUUCUGCCUGCGGCUAUGGAACCCUGACCUGUUCACCGGACGUGCUUGUUGCACCCUCGACAACUACUAUGAUUAUUAUUAUUUGACCAUGCUGGUCAUUUAUGAACAUUUUAACAUUUUAACAUUUUGACCAUGUUCUGUUAUAAUAUCCACCCUGCACAGCCAGAAGAGGACUGGCCACCCCUCAUAGCCUGGUUCCUCUCUAGGUUUCUUCCUAGGUUUUUGGCCUUUCUAGGGAGUUUUUCCUAGGGAGUUUUUCCUAGCCACCGUGCUUCUUUCACAUGCUUUGCUUGCUGUUUGGGGUUUUAGGCUGGGUUUCUGUACAGCACUUUGAGAAUAUCAGCUGAUGUACGAAGGGCUAUAUAAAAAUAAAUUUGAAAUUUGAUUCAAUGCACCUUGGCAUAGAUUCUACAAGUGUCUGGAACUCUAUUGUCAGGAUGCAUUUGGUGUUUUGUUGAUGGUGGUGGAUAACGUUGUCUCAGGCGGUGCUCCAGAAUCUCCCAUCAGUGUUCAAUUGGGUUGAGAUUUAGUGACUGAGAGGGCCAUGGCAUAUGGUUUGCAUCGUUUUCAUGCUCAUAAAACCAUUCCGUGACCACUCAUGCCCUGUGAAUGGGGGCAUUGUCAUCUUUGGGGCAUCGCCAUGGUAACCAAAAUAAUGGCCUGCCCAGCAUUUUUAUAUCUGACCCUAAGCAUGAUGGGAUGUUAAUUGCUUAAUUAACUCAGGAACCACAGCUGUGUGGAAGCACCUGCUU